GACGAACGCUGGCGGCGUGCUUAACACAUGCAAGUCGAACGGAAAGGCCCUGCUUUUGUGGGGUGCUCGAGUGGCGAACGGGUGAGUAACACGGGAGUAACCUGCCCUUGACUUUGGGAUAACUUCAGGAAACUGGGGCUAAUACCGGAUAGGAGCGCCUGCUGCAUGGUGGGGGUCGGAAAGUUUCGGCGGUUGGGGAUGGACUCGCGGCUUAUCAGCUUGUUGGUGGGGUAGUGGCUUACCAAGGCUUUGACGGAUAGCCGGCCUGAGAGGGUGACCGGCCACAUUGGGACUGAGAUACGGCCCAGACUCCUACGGGAGGCAGCAGUGGGGAAUAUUGCACAGUGGGCGGAAGCCUGAUGCAGCAACGCCGCGUGCGGGAUGACGGCCUUCGGGUUGUAAACCGCUUUCGCCUGUGACGAAGCGUGAGUGACGGUAAUGGGUAAAGAAGCACCGGCUAACUACGUG
rnacentral:rRNA from 1 species